rnacentral:tRNA from 1 species
GGGUCCGUAGCUCAGUCUGGAAUGGGAAGUGAUUCACUCGCUAACUCAUGGAUGAUUGGAGCACCGGUCUUAUAAGUCGGCGGUCCAGGGUUCAAAUACAGCUUUUUUGCUAAAGCAAAAAACUUGGGAAAAUGCGGUUUGCUUUCCUUCGGGCGCAAACCUUGUUUUUCUUCGGAAAAAUCAAGAAAGCUGAUGAAAGUCCCUGCGGACCCA